rnacentral:rRNA from 1 species
GUUAGUAACACGUGGAUAACCUACCUAUAAGACUGGGAUAACUUCGGGAAACCGGAGCUAAUACCGGAUAAUAUUUUGAACCGCAUGGUUCAAAAGUGAAAGACGGUCUUGCUGUCACUUAUAGAUGGAUCCGCGCUGCAUUAGCUAGUUGGUAAGGUAACGGCUUACCAAGGCAACGAUGCAUAGCCGACCUGAGAGGGUGAUCGGCCACACUGGAACUGAGACACGGUCCAG